UAGAAUGUGGUGUAAUAUGGAAGCACGGAGAAUUUUGAAUUCUCAGGUACGGGUUCGAUUCCUGUAUUUCUAG
rnacentral:tRNA from 1 species